CGUGUUGCAGUGCCUGUGUAUACGAAGUGCAUAAUACAUAAUGUUGUUCAUUGUUUACGAUGGGAACAAGCACAAUGCUUAAUAUACUACAUGAUAAAUAUAUUAUGCUUAGAAAGGAGAUGUUAUCUGUAAGAAUUGACAAUGACGGUAAUCACGGUAUUACUUGAACUUGGAAGUAAUGCUGGAUGGGCGGGGCGGGCUCCCGCCGAACUUAGUCCGAAGAUCUGAAGCAGAUUAUAGUGUAGGACUGAUGGCAUCAGAAUCAAUCGUCUAGUGAAGUUUCUGUCUGCCGGUUGGGGAAGUGUCCAUGGAUGCGCAAUGCCGAGUUCCUGCCAAUAUUACAGCCUGGCCCUCGCUACAUUGUCAAAUGAAUUGCUGUGAAAACUGUGUGAGGCAGAGAGUCCGCCCGCGCC